GUGGGGAAUAUUGGACAAUGGGCGCAAGCCUGAUCCAGCCAUGCGGCGUGAGUGAUGAAGGCCUUAGGGUUGUAAAGCUCUUUUGUCCGGGAAGAUAAUGACUGUACCGGAAGAAUAAGCCCCGGCUAACUUCGUGCCAGCAGCCGCGGUAAUACGAAGGGGGCUAGCGUUGUUCGGAAUCACUGGGCGUAAAGCGCACGUAGGCGGACCAUUAAGUCAGGGGUGAAAGCCUGGAGCUCAACUCCAGAACUGCCUUUGAUACUGAUGGUCUCGAGUAUGGAAGAGGUUGGUGAAACUGCGAGUGUAGAGGUGAAAUUCGUAGAUAUUCGGAGGAACACCAGUGGCGAAGGCGGCUCACUGGCUCGAUACUGACGCUGAGGUGCGAAAGCGUGGGGAGCAAACAGGAUUAGAUACCCUAGUAGUCC
rnacentral:rRNA from 1 species